UUUGGUGGUGAGAGCGGAAGUGACACACCCGGUCCCAUUCCGAACCCGGUCGUUACGGCUUCCAGCGCCGAUGGUACUGCACCCGAGGGGGUGUGGGAGAGCAGGACACCGCCAAACAUGAA
rnacentral:rRNA from 1 species